rnacentral:rRNA from 1 species
GACGAACGCUGGCGGCGUGCUUAACACAUGCAAGUCGAACGGAAAGGCCCUGCUUUUGUGGGGUGCUCGAGUGGCGAACGGGUGAGUAACCCGUGAGUAACCUGCAAUUGACUUUGGGGUAACUUCAGGACACUGGGGCUAAUACCGGCUAGGAGCUCCUGCUGCUUGGUGGGGGUUGGAAAGUUUAGGCGGUUGGGGAUGGACUAGCGGAUUAUGAGCUUGAUGGAGGGGUAGUGUCUUACCAAGGCUUUGACGGGUAGGCGGCCUGAGCGGGUGACCGGCCACGUUAGGACUGAGAUACGGCACAGACUCCAACGGGAGGCAGCAGUGGAGAAUAUUGCAUAAGGGGCGGAGCCCUGACGCAGCAACGCCACGUGCGGGAUGACGGCAUUGGGUUAGUAAACCGAUUUCGCCUGAGACGAGGCGUGAGUGACGGUAAUGGGUAAAGAAGCACCGGCUAACUACGUG